AAACAAAACAACAACAAAAGAACUUUACAAGAGAAAGCUUUUUAUCCCAGCCCCUUCCUACUCCCAUUGAAUGCAGCUCUGUGAGGACACGAUAUUUGAAGCUGCAGUAGCUGAGGUGGCAAAAGAUGGCAGAACAGAAGAGCAGACAGAAUCUGGGUCCUAGAUGACUUCAUUGCACUGCUGCAACUGCCUUCUCCAGACCUCUUGCCAGAUCAAGCUGCAGAGGAAACAGCCACCUGGGGCGUGUUCUUACGUUGCCUGGAAGCUGCACAAGAGGCCAAGUCAAAACAUGCAGAAUUCCAGUUGCCCAUGAUGUCACAGGCUGAGGCCCACACUCCAGAGACACUGUGGACUGACUGGCACCUAUGAGCUGACCUAAUAACAGUUACACCAUUACAGCUCCGAUUCUACAGAACAAUACAUAUCCAGUUCUUAUCUAUGCUUUGCAUGUGCUCUUUGAAACACAACCCUUCCCUAAACAGAAUUCUCUACCUGUUACCAUAUCUAGAGUGUAGGGCUCAGGGAAGACAGUAAAGGACACAGACUCUGAGAAAUGAACAUGAACUAGGGCUUAGAUGAAUAAAUGGAGCUACAACAAUAGUUAUAUUUUAGUGCAACUUCUGAAAAUUAAACUAAAGGAUCCACGGGUGUGGAAGACACAAUACCAGGGUGUGAGUCAGGGGAUGAGUGCUCAAGAAUGUUCUGUGUUUCCCAAAUCCACUAUAUGAAUGGCACGACCACUUUCCCAGGCAACUCAGUCUAAAACACUAGUUAGUUCUAACUUCUCACCUCCACGCAGUCACUUCCUAAUCCCACCUCUACGGCCUCUUUUAUUAUGCCUCUCUUUUCCCCUCGCCUUCCCCUUGUCAAGCUUUCCUCCCUGCCACACUCUAGUUCCUCCUCAGCACCUCCAAGCCAGCUGAUUGCAACAGGCUCCUAACAGAGCUUCUGACCUCCAGAAUGAGCAACACAAGCCAAAAGAUCUAGGUCCAAUUCUCGUCCCAACACUCACUAAUUUGAUCAAUUUGUAUAAAAAAAUCAUUUAUCUCUCUGAGCCUAUUUUAUUUCUCUGUGAAACAGGAAAAUAAAAGAUACUUCAACCAGGCGCGGUGGCUCACACCGGUAAUCCCAC
ensembl:lncRNA TMEM246-AS1 TMEM246 antisense RNA 1